rnacentral:rRNA from 1 species
UACGUAGGGUCCGAGCGUUGUCCGGAAUUACUGGGCGUAAAGAGCUCGUAGGUGGUUUGUCGCGUUGUUCGUGAAAACUCACAGCUUAACUGUGGGCGUGCGGGCGAUACGGGCAGACUUGAGUACUGCAGGGGAGACUGGAAUUCCUGGUGUAGCGGUGGAAUGCGCAGAUAUCAGGAGGAACACCGGUGGCGAAGGCGGGUCUCUAGGCCGAUAUCGACGCUGAGGAGCGAAAGCGUGGGGAGCGAACAGG